rnacentral:rRNA from 1 species
CGGAGAUGAGGUGCUUGCACCUUAUCUUAGCGGCGGACGGGUGAGUAAUGCUUAGGAAUCUGCCUAUUAGUGGGGGACAACAUUCCGAAAGGAAUGCUAAUACCGCAUACGCCCUACGGGGGAAAGCAGGGGAUCUUCGGACCUUGCGCUAAUAGAUGAGCCUAAGUCGGAUUAGCUAGUUGGUGGGGUAAAGGCCUACCAAGGCGACGAUCUGUAGCGGGUCUGAGAGGAUGAUCCGCCACACUGGGACUGAGACACGGCCCAGACUCCUACGGGAGGCAGCAGUGGGGAAUAUUGGACAAUGGGCGGAAGCCUGAUCCAGCCAUGCCGCGUGUGUGAAGAAGGCCUUUUGGUUGUAAAGCACUUUAAGCGAGGAGGAGGCUACUUAGAUUAAUACUCUAGGAUAGUGGACGUUACUCGCAGAAUAAGCACCGGCUAACUCUGUGCCAGCAGCCGCGGUAAUACAGAGGGUGCGAGCGUUAAUCGGAUUUACUGGGCGUAAAGCGUGCGUAGGCGGCUGAUUAAGUCGGAUGUGAAAUCCCUGAGCUUAACUUAGGAAUUGCAUUCGAUACUGGUCAGCUAGAGUAUGGGAGAGGAUGGUAGAAUUCCAGGUGUAGCGGUGAAAUGCGUAGAGAUCUGGAGGAAUACCGAUGGCGAAGGCAGCCAUCUGGCCUAAUACUGACGCUGAGGUACGAAAGCAUGGGGAGCAAACAGGAUUAGAUACCCUGGUAGUCCAUGCCGUAACGAUGUCUACUAGCCGUUGGGGCCUUU